GCGCAAAUGGUUUAGUGGUAAAAUCCAUCGUUGCCAGUGGAUCUCGACUUCGAGAUCCUGAAAUUCGAUGGGCCCCCGGUUCGAUUCCGGGUUUGCGCA